GCCGAAAUGGCGUCAGUGCACUUGGCCUCCAAAAAAAAAAAAAAAAGGAAGAAAAAAAACGGAAGAAAAGUGUGUACAAAGGCACACUUUGUAUGAUAAAACAAAGUGCAUUCAGAUGUCCUGUGAGUAAUUUCAGAUGGCUGACAUCCAGAGGGAACUAGGGGACAGGAGAAGAAGAAGCUGGAGCAAGCUCAUGAUCCAGGGGAAGACUUCUCGUUAGGAAGUAAUUCCCAGAUUGAGAUGCAAAUGUUGAGAAGAGUCAACCAGACAGAAGAGGAGAUGAGUGUUCCGGCAGAGGAAGCUGUGUGAGGAUGCUGAAACUUCAUAGGUGGCUGAAACUUGCAGUCUUCAGGUUGAGAAUUCCUGUCCCUCUGUGUCCAGCAGACAAGUGCUACCUGAAGGCCAUGACGAAUUGAGACAAAAUUCUAACACUGCUACGUUAUUGAGAGAAAGGAUGAGAAGGAGCCCAGAUCUGGAAUCAGCCAUUUUUCUAAGGAGCCCUGCUUUCUUU
rnacentral:lncRNA from 10 species